GAGUUUGAUCCUGGCUCAGAAUGAACGCUGGCGGCGUGCCUAACACAUGCAAGUCGGAUGUGCCGCAAGGUGCAUGGCAGACGGGUGAGUAACGCGUGGGGAAUCUACCUCUUUGUGGGGAAUAACGCUCCGAAAGGAGUGGUAAUACCGCAUGAGAUCCAUGGCUGGGAUGCUGUGGAUGAAACCUGGGGACCGCAAGGCCUGGGGCAAGGAGAGGAUCCUGCGUCUGAUUAGCUAGUUGGUGAGGUAAUGGCCCACCAAGGCGACGAUCAGUAGCCGGCCUGAGAGGGUGAUCGGCCACACUGGAACUGAGACACGGUCCAGACUCCUACGGGAGGCAGCAGUGGGGAAUUUUGCGCAAUGGGCGAAAGCCUGACGCAGCAACGCCGCGUGGGUGAUGAAGGUCUUCGGAUCGUAAAACCCUGUCGUCGGGGACGAAGGUGGAGGGGUUAAUAGCCUCUUUGCUUGACGGUACCCGGAGAGGAAGCCCCGGCUAACUCUGUGCCAGCAGCCGCGGUAAUACAGAGGGGGCAAGCGUUAUUCGGAAUUAUUGGGCGUAAAGGGCGCGUAGGCGGCUUUUUAAGUGAGAUGUGUAAUCCCUGAGCUCAACUUGGGAACUGCAUCUCAUACUGGGAGGCUAGAGUACUGGAGAGGGUGGUAGAAUUCCACGUGUAGCGGUGAAAUGCGUAGAGAUGUGGAGGAAUACCAGUGGCGAAGGCGGCCACCUGGACAGUAACUGACGCUGAGGCGCGAAAGUGUGGGUAGCAAACAGGAUUAGAUACCCUGGUAGUCCACACUGUAAACGAUGAACACUUGGUGUGGAGGGAGUUGACCCCUUCCGUGCCGUAGCUAACGCGUUAAGUG
rnacentral:rRNA from 1 species